rnacentral:tRNA from 1 species
GCCGGCGUGAUGGAAUUGGCAGACGUGACGGACUCAAAAUCCGUUGGUAGCAAUACCGUGUGGGUUCGACCCCCAUCGCCGGUACCA